rnacentral:lncRNA from 1 species
GGGACUGGAGCUCUAGAAAAAGGACUAAGGAAAACCCAAGCCAGACUGUUAGGAAGUUUAAAAGCAUACUCAGGCCAGCAUCCAAAGGGGAAAGGAAAAGCGAAGGGGGAUGGAUAGAGUAGCCUACACCGUAUUAGCCCAACCUAUACUAGGGGAAAGAAGAGGAAUUAUGGAAGAGAAAAGUAUAUCACCUGCCUUCUCCGGUGGUCCUUUGCCAGGACCCUGACCUGCCUCGCUACAUUAACCCUUUAGGAAGGAGACAGAGGCCAUCUCUCCUAGAGGAGACUAUGAAGCCACAGCAGACCAAAGAGCGAGAUGGUAGCAGAAGGUUCCUGGAAAGGACGGUGAACUGGAGCCUAGGACGCCUCUCUGGGUGAAGCAAGAACACUCUUGUGAAAUGGAAUUGGAGCCGAGCCCUUCCCCGCUGUGCACGCACCAGACCCCGGGUUUGCAAGGAUGGAUGGGAAUGGGCGGUCCUACACGCCGCCAUCAGGAAGAGGGCUCUGCGGAAUGCUUAGGAGGCCCUUCCACCAGAGCUGCUCCAGGGCCGGGACUUCGAGACUUCCACUUCACCACCGCAGGACCAUCCAAAGCAGAUAGACUGGGAGACGCAGCGCAGAUACACAGAGAAAGGAUGAGACCGGUGCAGUGUGGUGAUGGUAGUGGUGAGAGAGUCUUUCUACAGAGCCCUGGCUCUAUUGGAACUCUAUAUAUCAGGCUGGACUUGAACUCACAAAGAUCCACCUGCUGCUGCCUCCUAAAUGCUGGGACUAAAGGCAUGUGCUAGCAUGCAUAGCCUAAUGUAACUCCCCCGCCUUCUACCUUCACUAGCAAGGACAAUACAGAGUCAUCUGAGUCUGAUGUUGAUGUCUUUCUAUUACAGCUGACUAUGGGGGAAAAGGAGAGACCUUGGGACAGGCAGACUUGCAUCUAGUCUAGAGUUUCACGCUAUGCCUCCCUAGGCCUGGGCUUAUUAUACGCAUUUGUCUACCCCUACAUGACUACAGGGUUUCCUUUAUUUGUAUUAUAUAUGGUGGAAGGGGACACAUAAUGCUCAGACACUAGUAGGGUGUGCUCAGCUAUACAUACGCACUCUGGGUACUCACUUAGGGGCUCGUAUAUAUCCAUG